rnacentral:lncRNA from 1 species
GAGGCCCACAGCGCCGGCGCAGGCGCAGAGAGGCAGAAGGCCCAUGAGGGGAAGGUGCAGUGGCUUCUAUGUUUUGGGUUGAUGCUGAAUUAGGGAGUGAUAUUUACCUUGAUGGUAUCAUAACUAUUGUGGAUUCAAAAUAUGGAUUAAAAGUGAAAUACCACUAAAGGCAGAAGAGAAUGAAAUCAUCCCACCCACUGACCCGUUCCCAAUCUGAGCAUAUGGAUAGGGCCCAAAGCACAUUUAACAGAAGAGAAACCUGAUGGCCUUAUCAAUGAAGCUACUAGGCAAGUUGCUUUGGCAGAUAUCGUUCUCAUUAAUAAAACAGACUUGGUUCCAGAAGAAGAUGUAAAGAAAUUAAGAACAACAAUUAGAUCCAUAAAUGGACUAGGACAAAUCUUAGAAACACAAAGAUCAAGAGUUGAUCUCUCUAAUGUAUUAGAUCUUCAUGCCUUUGAUAGUCUCUCUGGAAUAAGUUUGCAGAAAAAACUUCAGCAUGUGCCAGGAACACAACCUCACCUUGAUCAGAGAGGGCACCUCUUAAAUGAGGGUCUUAUGACCUGCAUCAGCGGAAGGUCAGAAAAUCUUUCCUAGGUUUUAUGACCUGCUUCAGGAGAGAAGGUGAGAGUGACCUUCCUGAUUCUGCCAUUUUCUCAAAUAUUGAGUUGCCAUAUUUUGGGAUAGCAUGUCCUGAACCCCAUCAAAUGCUUCAUGAGGAUAGUUUUUCAUUUGUUUCUUUUGGUUUUGGUUUAUUUAUUUGCAUACAGUAAAGCAUGCAAAUGUGUAAUUUUAGUGUACAAUUCAAUGUUUGGGUUUUGUUUUUGUUUUGGUUUUUUUGUUUUUUUUUGAGACGGAGUCUCGCUCCGGCUAGAGUCUCACCCAGGCUGGAGUGCAGUGGUGUGACCUUGGCUCACUGCAACUUCCUCCUUCUAGAUUCAAGUGAUUCUCAUGCCUCAGCCUCCUGAGUAGCUGGGAUUACAGGCAUGUACCACCAUGCCUAGCUAAUUUUUUUUUUUUUUUUUUUUUAGUAGAGAUGGGGUUUCACCAUGUUGGCCAAGCUGGUCUCAAACUCCUGACUUCAGGUGAUCCACCUGCUUCGGCCUCCCAAAGUGCUGGGAUUACAGGCGUGAGCCACUGUGCCCGGCCUCAAUGUAUUUUUACAUAUAUUUGUACCUAUAUAUCUGUCUAUAUGCACAUUCAAACACAUAUCCUUCUAACUCCCACUCAGGUCAAGAUACAAAAGAUAUCCAAAAUUGUAAAGAGUUCCUUUUUGCCCCUUCCUAGUCAAAGAAGGGGUAAGUGCUAUUCUGACUUACUUAACAAAAAAUAACCUUGAACUGGUA